rnacentral:rRNA from 1 species
UACGAGAGCUUCAAGCGUUAUCCGGAAUCACUGGGCGUAAAGGGUGCGUAGGCGGGUCUUUAAGUCAGCGGUGAAAUCCUGGAGCUCAACUCCAGAACUGCCUUUGAUACUGAAGAUCUUGAGUUCGGGAGAGGUGAGUGGAACUGCGAGUGUAGAGGUGAAAUUCGUAGAUAUUCGCAAGAACACCAGUGGCGAAGGCGGCUCACUGGCCCGAUACUGACGCUGAGGCACGAAAGCGUGGGGAGCAAACAGG